UCAGCGUCGCCAGGCGGCAGCAGAGGAAGAGCGGAACCGGAAGUGCGUGUAACACCAGCUGACGAGAUCAACGUCAAGAAGCUAAUAGAAAUCCGGCCACACAUAAUAAAGUUAAUAAGGGGUUCCUCGCUGAAGCACAAUGCCU